AUGCAGAGCAUGGCGGCGUCCUCCUCGUCUUCGAGAGGCUGGGCGGCGGUGCGACGUUGCCCCUCCCCUUCCUUGUCCGCGCGGCACGUCGCCUUCUCCUCCUCGUCCUCUUCCCGCUGCCCCGUCGCGGGCGCCGGCGCGCCCGUGCUGCCGCUCGGCAUUCGCGGGGGCCGCCUGCCGCUCCCCUGCCCCCUGCUCCCGCCCGGCGGCAAGAACGGCGCUUCGGCGAGAAGGGCGACGGCGGCCGCCGCGCCGUCGGCGGAGGGAGACGGGAAGCCGGAGGCCGGCGGCAUUCCGCGGACGCUGCAGCUCGGCGCCAUGAUCCUCGUCUGGUACCUCCUCAACAUCUACUUCAACAUCUACAACAAGCUGGUUCUGAAAGCAGUGCCCUUCCCCUACACCAUCACCACCUUCCAGUUCGCAUCCGGCUCCUUCUUCAUCACUCUCAUGUGGCUGCUCAAUCUGCAUCCCAAGCCAAGGCUCUCCCUUCAACAGUACGCAAAGAUCCUGCCUUUGGCCUUAAUACACAUGAUGGGCAACGUCUUCACCAACAUGAGUUUGGGCAAGGUGGCUGUCUCCUUCACGCACACCAUCAAGGCCAUGGAGCCCUUCUUCUCUGUUCUGUUCUCAGUCUUGCUCCUCGGGCAGACACCUUCUUUACUGGCAGUAGGUUCUCUCGUGCCGGUUGUCGGUGGAGUUGUGUUGGCAUCUAUGACUGAAGUUUCUUUCAACUGGAUUGGAUUUUGGAGUGCCAUGGCUUCUAAUGUUACAAAUCAGUCGCGAAAUGUUUUCAGCAAGAAACUUCUUGCUGACAAAGAGGAAACGUUGGACGAUAUAAAUCUCUUCUCAAUUAUGACUGUCAUGUCAUUUUUGUUGUCGGUCCCAUUAAUGCUAUAUUUAGAGGGCAUCAAGUUUAGCCCAUCAUACGUACAGAGCACUGGCGUAAAUCUUCAAGAACUAUGCGUGAAAGCAGCCAUUGCUGGCACUUGUUUCCAUUUUUAUCAACAGGUUUCAUAUAGUUUAUUGGCCAGAAUAUCACCUGUGACCCAUUCUGUUGCAAACUCUGUCAAACGAGUUGUUGUCAUUGUGUCAUCCGUUAUCUUCUUCAGAACUCCAAUUUCACCUAUAAAUGCACUUGGAACUGGUCUGGCUCUGCUCGGUGUUUUCCUGUACUCUAGAUUUAAGAAGGCAAAACCAAAGGCAAAGGCUGCAUAA
rnacentral:rRNA from 1 species